CCUACGGGAGGCAGCAGUGGGGAAUAUUGGACAAUGGGCGCAAGCCUGAUCCAGCAAUGCCGCGUGUGUGAAGAAGGCCUUCGGGUUGUAAAGCACUUUAGGCAGGGAAGAAAAAAAUCGGCGAUAACAUCGCCGAUCUUGACGGUACCUGAGGAAUAAGCACCGGCUAACUCUGUGCCAGCAGCCGCGGUAAUACAGAGGGUGCAAGCGUUAAUCGGAUUUACUGGGCGUAAAGCGUGUGUAGGUGGUUAGAAAAGUCGACUGUGAAAUCCCUGGGCUCAACCCGGGAACUGCUUUCGAGACUGUUUGACUAGAAUUCGGUAGAGGGAGGCGGAACUCCAGGUGUAGCGGUGAAAUGCGUAGAUAUCUGGAAGAACACCAAUGGCGAAGGCAACCUCCUGGGCCUGAAUUGACACUGAGACACGAAAGCGUGGGGAUCAAACAGGAUUAGAUACCCUGGUAGUCCACGCCGUAAACGAUGAGAACUUGACGUCGGUUUGCUCUGCGAAUCGGUGUCGUAGCUAACGCGAUAAGUUCUCCGCCUGGGGAGUACGGCCGCGAAGGUUGAAACUCAAAUUGAAUUGACGG
rnacentral:rRNA from 1 species